rnacentral:lncRNA from 7 species
UUUUUCUGGAUUUUAGGCUGUUCGUAACCCCUACAACAAUGAUCCGUAUCAGCUCCGGUAAAUUUAGCGGAGGCCUCCGGACGGUUUCUCCAUCGCCCGCUAUCGCGUCGCCUUUGACUUUUCUCCGACGGUAAAUUUAUUCGUCACGCCGUCGGCCGCAUAUAGGACUGUCUACGGAUCUGAGUGAGCAUCUCUCGGGCGGAAUCGCCGAGCCGACGCAGCUUCGCCACCAGCUCCGCGGCGUUCGACGCCGGGCACCGCCGUGCGCACGGCAGCGAACUUCCUCUGCUCGCACUGAUGCUGCCGCUACACAUCCUCCUGCGCUCCUUCGACGAACCGCUCGAACCACCAUGGUGGCCGCGGCGUUCGACGUCGGCCACCACCGUGCGCAGGGCGGCGACUGCCCGUGCUCCACCUUCGGCCCAGCGGACACUGGCAGACAACGACGACAUCACGCCCUUCUAUGUUGUUGCCUCCUCCGGCGGACGUACUCCUGCGCUCCUUCUCCGACGAACCAUGGCGCUCGACCACCGAUAUGAAGACAACAACUCUCCUGUUCGACGAAAUGUCUCCAAAGCAAAAUAGAGAUCAACUAUGUUUUUUUUGUCCAAUAAGAGUUUAUGUUACAAAACAUACUUAGAUAGCAUUUUCUUCGGAAAAGAAAUAUUACCAAUGUCGAUUACAUAAUGUAAUUAUUUUCACCAGUCCAUAAUUCAAUUUCGAUUGCGUGUUCGAUAAGG